AGUGAACGCUGGCGGUAGGCCUAACACAUGCAAGUCGAACGGCAGCACAGUAAGAGCUUGCUCUUACAGGUGGCGAGUGGCGGACGGGUGAGGAAUACAUCGGAAUCUACUUUUUCGUGGGGGAUAACGUAGGGAAACUUACGCUAAUACCGCAUACGACCUACGGGUGAAAGCAGGGGAUCUUCGGACCUUGCGCGAUUGAAUGAGCCGAUGUCGGAUUAGCUAGUUGGCGGGGUAAAGGCCCACCAAGGCGACGAUCCGUAGCUGGUCUGAGAGGAUGAUCAGCCACACUGGAACUGGGCCACGGUCCAGACUCCUACGGGAGGCAGCAGUGGGGAAUAUUGGACAAUGGGCGCAAGCCUGAUCCAGCCAUACCGCGUGGGUGAAGGAGGCCUUCGGGUUGUAAAGCCCUUUUGUUGGGAAAGAAAAGCAGCAGGUUAAUACCCCGCUGUUCUGACGGUACCCAAAGAAUAAGCACCGGCUAACUUCGUG
rnacentral:rRNA from 1 species